CUUGAAAUCCUACUCCCUACCCCACAAAUGGUCACACUCAUUUUCUCAUUCUCAGUGUCAUCAAAAUGCAGCUGUUCUGCCCAAAAUGGGAAAUGUUGAAGUUACAACCAAGAAAGCUUGCUAAAGUGACUACAAAGACACUGAUUGCUUUUUUCUCAGAAAGCAGAUUACUUUGCAGUCCAGCAGGGAAGAAAUUGAAUGAUUUUACCCACUUUGCUACACAGAUGAUUACAAGACCCGAAGCAAUCACCAAGCUGACUAAGGCUGCCAGCGUUCUAGCACCUUGGAUAGUUCCUGCUCACUAGGCCCAUUGGAAAAGGGAGAAGAAGCAACUGAAGAAAUUGCAAGAAACCGGAAAGCGGCAUCGUUCUAGUUUGGAUUUCAGCUCCCUGGGGGCUCCCAUCCUCAUUAAAGGCCUCACAUCUAGGCAACAGAACCUCUCUCUUUUAUCUAACUGAGCUGAAGUCUGAUUAUUAAAUAAUAAAAGGAAAAGAGGGUAAAGAAAUACCCUUCAUUUAUAUUCACUAUAGCACUAAUUUAGUCUUUAUGGAGAGGAAAAAUAUAAAUCCAUUGAAAACAAACGUUCUUACUACAGAGAAUGGUUAAGUUAUAAGCAUUUCACCCUUGGUGUGGCUAACGAAAAUGAGCAACAACUUAAAUGGAACAUCUAGAUCUCAGUUUGAUACCUUUAUUUGAUAUCAAUUUUGCCUCCACCCUCCCUGCACAGCCGAACCAUGCACACAAUUACUGCUGACGUACUUCAGGCUGCUGCUUGGGGAGAGAGGGGAGGAGCCUUUUAACCUCAUCAAAACAGCUUCAUGCCACCUGCUCCCAUGGCAUGAGAACAAAACUAGCCCACUUAGAAAGAACAUGCACAGUACACACGUGUGUGGAACAAAG
rnacentral:lncRNA from 1 species